CUACGGGCUGCUGCAGUGGGGAAUAUUGGACAAUGGGCGCAAGCCUGAUCCAGCAAUGCCGCGUGUGUGAAGAAGGCCUUCGGGUUGUAAAGCACUUUUGUUAGGGAGGAAAGUCUGGUAGCUAAUAACUGCUAGAUCUGACGUUACCUAAAGAAUCAGCACCGGCUAACUCUGUGCCAGCAGCCGCGGUAAUACAGAGGGUGCAAGCGUUAAUCGGAAUUACUGGGCGUAAAGGGUCUGUAGGCGGAUUAUUAAGUCGGAUGUGAAAUCCCCGGGCUCAACCUGGGAACGGCAUUCGAUACUGGUAGUCUAGAGUGUGCAAGAGGAUGGGGGAAUUCCUGGUGUAGCAGUGAAAUGCGUAGAGAUCAGGAGGAACAUCAAUGGCGAAGGCACCUUUCUGGGGCAACACUGACGCUGAGAGACGAAAGCGUGGGGAGCAAACAGGAUUAGAUACCCGCGUAGUC
rnacentral:rRNA from 1 species